AGUGAACGCUGGCGGUAGGCCUAACACAUGCAAGUCGAACGGCAGCACAGUAAGAGCUUGCUCUUACGGGUGGCGAGUGGCGGACGGGUGAGGAAUACAUCGGAAUCUACUUUUUCGUGGGGGAUAACGUAGGGAAACUUACGCUAAUACCGCAUACGACCUACGGGUGAAAGCAGGGGAUCUUCGGACCUUGCUCGAUUGAAUGAGCCGAUGUCGGAUUAGCUAGUUGGCGGGGUAAAGGCCCACCAAGGCGACGAUCCGUAGCUGGUCUGAGAGGAUGAUCAGCAACACUGGAACUGAGACACGGUCCAGACUCCUACGGGAGGCAGCAGUGGGGAAUAUUGGACAAUGGGCGCAAGCCUGAUCCAGCCCUACCGCGUGGGUGAAGAAGGCCUUCGGGUUGUAAAGCCCUUUUGUUGGGAAAGAAAAGCAGCAGGUUAAUACCCCGCUGUUCUGACGGUACCCAAAGAAUAAGCACCGGCUAACUUCGUG
rnacentral:rRNA from 1 species